rnacentral:rRNA from 1 species
AUCAACUUUCGAUGGUAGGAUAGAGGCCUACCAUGGUGGUAACGGGUAACGGGGUGUUAGGGCACGACACCGGAGAGGGAGCCUGAGAAACGGCUACCACAUCCAAGGAUGGCAGCAGGCGCGCAAAUUACCCAAUCCCGACACGGGGAGGUAGUGACAAUAAAUAACAAUACGGGGUUCUUUCGGAUUUCGUAAUUGGAAUGAGUACAAUUUAAAUCUCUUAACGAGGAACAAUUGGAGGGCAAGUCUGGUGCCAGCAGCCGCGGUAAUUCCAGCUCCAAUAGCGUAUAUUAAAGUUGCUGCAGUUAAAAAGCUCGUAGUUGAAUUUCGGGACUAAUAUGUCGGUCGUGCCUCGGUACGUACUGGUAUUUUUGGUUUCUCCCUUCUGAUGAACCUUGAUGUCAUUAAUUUGGUGUCUUGGGAAAUCAGGACUGUUACUUUGAAAAAAUUAGAGUGUUUAAAGCAGGCUCACGCUUGAAUACAUUAGCAUGGGAUAAUGAAAUAGGACGUUUGAUUCUAUUUUGUUGGUUUCUAGGAUCGACGUAAUGAUUAAUAGGGAUAGUUGGGGGCAUUAGUAUUCAAUUGUCAGAGGUGAAAUUCUUGGAUUUAUUGAAGACUAACUACUGCGAAAGCAUUUGCCAAGGAUGUUUUCAUUAAUCAAGAACGAAAGUUAGGGGAUCGAAGACGAUCAGAUACCGUCGUAGUCUUAACCAUAAACUAUGCCGACUAGGGAUCGGAUGAUGUUAUUUUUAAUGACUCAUUCGGCGCCUUACGGGAAACCAAAGUGUUUGGGUUC